rnacentral:rRNA from 1 species
UACGGAGGGUGCAAGCGUUGUCCGGAUUUAUUGGGUUUAAAGGGUGCGUAGGUGGCCCGUUAAGUCAGUGGUGAAAUACAGCCGCUCAACGGUUGAGGUGCCAUUGAUACUGACAGGCUUGAAGCAGACAGAGGCUGCCGGAAUGGAUGGUGUAGCGGUGAAAUGCAUAGAUAUCAUCCAGAACACCGAUUGCGAAGGCAGGUGGCUAUGUCUGACUUGACACUGAGGCACGAAAGCAUGGGGAGCAAACAGG